AGGUUGUCCGGUAGUCUGGUUAGGUUUGGGUAUGGCUACAAAAUAAAUCAUUGUGUAGCUAGCUACAGUCUAAUAGUUCUAUAUAUAUAUAUAUAUAUAUAUAUAUAUAUAUAUAUAUAUUGUCACGAAUCCACAGGAAUCUGAGACGAAUUGCUGGAUAGAUUUCAGAUAGGAAGAACAAGAGUCUGGGAUUGGGGAAAAGCAAGAACAGAGUAUGGGUUCAGAUAACAGAAUGAGUUUCAGUUACAGGGUUCAGAGUUCUUAUUCCAUCCGCCAAACGAAAGCCAUACAGGGUGUAUAUAUACACCAGCACUCACGCCGACACAAACACGGCACCUGAACCGACUAACACCUCCAACUAACAUGAUGGACUUCACCCCACGGUAGACGACGUUACAGAGUCAACUACAGCUGUCGAUGAUGGACACCUCACAGCCAACGCACCCUUCCUGAUUGAGUGUCUCUUGUUGACCCUGACAUUGCCCCCUCCUUGAAAUGCAGCUUGCCCCCAAGCUGCACAAUCAGGAUAUCGGCGACGCAAAUCCGAAGCUUCUUCCCAAGUUGUCAAAGUGUCCGAAAUACCAGUCCACUGAACCAAAAUUUGAGACAAGUUGGAGCUGCCUUUCUUCACCAUUCGAGAGCUGAUAAACCUGCUCGGUUGCAGACAGGCCACUGGAUCAUCAGGGAUUUGGUUGAUGUCCGUUUCAACUGAAAUGGAUGAUGGUAUGUGCCGCUUGAGUUGAGAAACAUGUACCACCGAGUGAAUCUUGCAAUUGUCAGGCAAUUGAAGUUUGUAAGCCACAGCACCCACACGAGCGAGAAUCUUGAAUGGUCCAUAGAAGCGAAAGCUAAGCUUCUGAUUACUGUGAGGUGCUACCGAAGACUGGAUAUAUGGUUGCAGUUUUAGAUAGACCAGAUCACCCACUGCAAACUCCUUUUCAGAACGAUGUAAAUCAGCAAAAUGCUUCAUUCUCGCCUGAGCCCUCGCCAAAUUAUGCUGAAUCACAUCCUGCAAAAGAUUUCUCUCAAGAAGCCACUGCUCAAGAUCUGGGGCAUGAGUAUGGACUUCAUUGGAUAUGCCAAAAUGCCUAGGAGAGUGACCAUACAACACUUCAAAAGGUGAUCUUCCCAAAGCCGAAUGAUAUGAAGUGUUGUACCAAAAUUCAGCCAGUGGAAGCCACUUGGACCACUGCUUAGGACAAGAGUGAACAGAACAUCUCAAGAAUCCUUCGAGACAUUGGUUCAAUCUCUCAGUCUGACCAUCCGUUUGAGGAUGAUACGAAGAACUCAUGAGCAGCUGAGUAUCAGUUAACUUGAACAGAUCCCUCCAAAAGGCACUAGUGAACACCUUAUCCCUAUCAGAAAUAAUUCAUUCAGGCAGGCCAUGUAACUUGUACAUAUUUUCCACAAAGGCCUGUGCCACUUGCAUAGCAGUGAAAGGGUGAGCCAAGGGAAUGAAAUGACCAUAUUUGGUAAACUUGUCAAUCACCACCAGAAUAGUGUCAAAUCUUGAUGACCUGGGAAGACCUUCCACAAAAUCCAUAGAAAUUACUUUCCAGGCCUGUUGAGGAACAGGCAAGGGUUGCAACAAACCAGCAGGCUUGUUAUGAUCAACCUUAGCUUGCUGACACACAGAGCACCACUUAACGAAUGCUGCAAUAGUCUCUUUCAUCUUGGGCCAUGAAAACAAUUGUCUUAUGCGGUAAUAAGAGGCCUGAAAUCCAGAGUGUCCACCCACAGCACUAUCAUGCAUUGCCUGAAUAACAUGUUGUUGCGCUAAGGAGUUGUGACCCAACCAAACUCUCCCUUUGUACCUCAAGAUACCAUCUUUAAGAGAGAAAUUACCCCCAGAAGUUGAAUUUACAGCAAGGUCUUGUAACAACUUAACAGCCAAAGGGUCAUCAUUGUAUCCUUCCUUUACUUUCUGCAGCCAAUCUGGACUGGAUAAGGCAACAGCACAGAUUGAGUGCAGAGCUGAGCAUCUGGAUAAAGAAUCAGCAGCUUGAUUUGAACUUCCUUUCUUGUACUGAAUUUUGAACUGCAUAUCCAUUAAUUUCAGGAGGGCUUUUUGUUGUAACUUUGUUGUAACUCUUUGAUCAGCAAGAUGUAAAAGACUCUUGUGGUCGGUCCUAAUAAUGAACUCUUUAUUUUGCAAAUAAGAUCUCCAUUUGUCAACAGCCAUUAUUAUUGCCAUGCACUCCUUUUCAUAGGUGGACAUAGCCUGAUUUUUGGCACAUACAGGCUUGCUGAGAUAAGCUAUUGGAUGGCCUUCCUGCAUGAGCACAGCCCCAAAUCCCACAUCACUAGCAUCAGUUUCAAGGACAAACUGCUUCUCAAAAUCAGGAAUUGCUAGCACUGGAGCCUUGGUUAAUGCUGUUUUCAACAAUUGAAAAGCUUCCUCAGUGGCAGAUGUCCACACAAAAGGGCUGGAUUUCUUAAGAAGAUCAGAGAGAGGCUUACUGAUAAGACCAUAGUGCCUGAUAAACUUUCUGUAAUAACCAGUUAAUCCCAGAAAGCCUCUGACAUCUUUCAAGGUCUUAGGUCUGGGCCACUGUUGCACUGCCGCAAUCUUUGUUGGUUCAGUUGCCACAUCCUUGGCCGAUAUACAGUGUCCCAAAUACUCCACUUCCUCUUGGGCAAAGAAACAUUUAGACCGCUUCAAAUAAAAUUGAUGUUCUCUGAUCACUUGGAAAACCUUCUGCAACAAUUGAAUAUGCUCUUCCAGUGAAGCUGAAUAAACUAGAAUAUCAUCCAUAAAAAUGAUCACUCCUUUUCGCAGAAGAUGAGCAAAUAUCAAGUUCAUCACUCCUUGAAAAGAUGCUGGGGAAUUAGUGAGUCCAAAAGCCAUAACCAAGAACUCAUACAACCCAUUAUGUGUCUUAAAGGCAGUUUUGUGAGUGUCAGCCGGGUGAAUACAAAGCUGAUGGUAGCCAGCUCUGAAAUCCAACUUGGAGAAGUAAGUAGCACCAGCUAACUCGUCAAUAAGCUCAUCCACCACAGGCAUUGGAUGCUUAUUCUUGACAGUCUGAGCAUUUAGAUGCCUAUAGUCCACACAAAACCUCCAAGUCCCAUCUUUCUUCCUUACCAACAGCACAGGUGAGGCAAAAGGACUAUCACUAUGUUUGAUAAUUCCAUUCUUCAACAUUUCAGCUAACUGUUUCUCAAUCUCAUCUUUUUGGGCAGGGGAGUAUCUGUAAGCUCUGACAUUAACCGGCUGUGGUAUGUAUCAUCAUAAGCACUGUUAUAGAGCAAGAGUCCCUGAGCCAGUUUCUCAAACUCCAUCUGGUAUUCCUCCACAGAAUCAAUCUGUCUCAACAUCUCGAACCGUUUCAGCAGUACCUGGUACUGAUUCCUGUCAAACUUGUUCAUCACUAGAUCACAGAGAUGAUUCCAAUCAGUGAUGCGCCCCUUCCUUUGCACUGUUUGCAGCCAUGAAGCAGCCAUCCCCUUGAAAUUCAAUGAUGCAAACCGAGUCUUGAGCGAAGAGUGCACCGCAUAGACCUUGAAGAAUACCUCGCAUUGGUCCCGCCAAAGGCGAGGAAAUUCACCGUCAAACUUAGGGAACUCCAUCUUAGGAAACGGAGGUGAACGACAGUUGACAGGUGCAUCCUCGUCAACUGGAAAAACAGAGGAAUGGUUCAGAGCAGCGAACGUACCCUUGCCGAAGUUCUGCAGUCGGGGUCCAAGGAUCCCGCCGCAGUCAUCGCCGUGCCCCUUGGGCCGCUCCCCGUCCCUCGCAGGUGAGCACAAGGACGGUCCAGGAGCAAGGUUGAGGUCCAUGGGUCUCCCCCCUGAAGCAUGAUGUACAGUCAGUGCAGCAGUAGGAGCCGUCGUCAGCCGAGUCUCCAAUGAAUCCAUCCGAGACACGGCGAGAUCCAUCCGCUUGGUCACCGCCUGCAGAGACGACGAAGUUCCGUGCGCCUGCUGAUGCAAAUCAUCGAGCGACUUGUCCGCAGUUGCCUGCCAAGCUCCCAUGGCGUUGAGCGAGUCGAGGGAAUUCUGCAUCAUCGUCUGGAAGCCCGCGAACUGCUUCAUCAUCUUCUCGAACUGGGUCGAGAUCUCCUCCACAGACUUGGCCAUCUCCUGCUGGAACUUGGUGGGAUUCUUCCUUGGCGCCAGGAUGGAAUCAAUCCUCGCGUGGGGUGCACGAACAGCCCGCGAUUACCAACUACCCGCUCACCAAAUCGGACUUCUGGAAUCGCGAGUUCAACACCGAAGUGGAACUCAGAUUCGUGCCGUCUGGAUUUAUGAGCGCGGUCGAGAAGGGAAUCACGACGGCUUUGAUACCAAUUGUCACGAAUCCACAGGAAUCUGAGACGAAUUGCUGGAUAGAUUUUAGAUAGGAAGAACAAGAGUCUGGGAUUGGGGAAAAGCAAGAAUAGAGUAUGGGUUCAGAUAACAGAAUGAGUUUCAGUUACAGGGUUCAGAGUUCUUAUUCCAUCCGCCAAACGAAAGCCAUACAGGGUGUAUAUAUACACCAGCACUCACGCCGACACAAGCACGGCACCUGAACCGACUAACACCUCCAACUAACAUGAUGGACUUCACCCCACGGUAGACGACGUUACAGAGUCAACUACAGCUGUCGAUGAUGGACACCUCACAGCCAACGCACCCUUCCUGAUUGAGUGUCUCUUGUUGACCCUGACAUAUAUAUAUAUAU
rnacentral:lncRNA from 1 species